rnacentral:rRNA from 1 species
UACAGAGGGUGCUAGCGUUGUUCGGAAUCAUUGGGCGUAAAGGGCGUGUAGGCGGUUUGUUAAGUCAUGUGUGAAAUCCCUCGGCUCAACCGGGGAACGACGCAUGAAACUGGCAAGCUAGAGUACCAAAGAGGGGGGUGGAAUUCCCGGUGUAGCGGUGAAAUGCGUAGAUAUCGUAAGGAAGACCAGUGGCGAAGGCGGGUCUCUGGACAGUUCCUGACGCUGAGGCACGAAGGCCAGGGGAGCAAACGGG